rnacentral:hammerhead_ribozyme from 1 species
AUCCAGAUGAUGAGCCCCAAAUAGGACGAAAUGCACAUCCUGGAU